rnacentral:rRNA from 1 species
GACGAACGCUGGCGGCGUGCCUAAUACAUGCAAGUCGAACGCAGUGGGGACGGGUGAGUAACACGUGGGUAACCUCCCAUCUGCGGGGAUAACACUUGGACACCGGUGCUAAACCCAUACGGAUGGCUGGACCCGCGGUGCAUUAGCUAGUUGGUGAGGUAACGGCUCACCAAGGCCAAGAUGCAUAGCCGGCCUGAGAGGGUGAUCGGCCACACUGGGACUGAGACACGGCCCAGACGCCUACGGGAGGCAGCAGGGGGGAAUCUUGGGCAAUGGGCGAAAGCCUGACGGAGCAACGCCGCGUGUGUGAAGAAGGUUUUCGGGUUGUAAAACUCUUUUGUUAGAGAAGCGUUAUCUACACAGGAAGCCCCGGCUAACUACGUGCCAGCAGCCGCGGUAAUAC